rnacentral:rRNA from 1 species
UACGAAGCGGGCUAGCGUUGCUCGGAAUCACUGGGCGUAAAGGGCGCGUAGGCGGCCGAUUAAGUCGGGGGUGAAAGCCUGUGGCUCAACCACAGAAUUGCCUUCGAUACUGGUUGGCUUGAGACCGGAAGAGGACAGCGGAACUGCGAGUGUAGAGGUGAAAUUCGUAGAUAUUCGCAAGAACACCAGUGGCGAAGGCGGCUGUCUGGUCCGGUUCUGACGCUGAGGCGCGAAAGCGUGGGGAGCAAACAGGAUUAGAUACCCU